rnacentral:snoRNA from 1 species
UUCUAUGAUGAUUUUACACACUUUUGUUCCCGCGAACCCUGAGCGAAGAACUCCAACAUGCAUCACCAUCUGACC